AGUGAACGCUGGCGGUAGGCCUAACACAUGCAAGUCGAACGGCAGCACAGUAAGAGCUUGCUCUUACGGGUGGCGAGUGGCGGGCGGGUGAGGAAUACAUCGGAAUCUACUUUUUCGUGGGGGAUAACGUAGGGAAACUUACGCUAAUACCGCAUACGACCUACGGGUUAAAGCAGGGGAUCUUCGGACCUUGCGCGAUUGAAUUAGCCGAUGUCGGAUUAGCUAGUUGGCGGGGUAAAGGCCCACCAAGGCGACAAUCCGUAGCUGGUCUGAGAGGAUGAUCAGCCACACUGGAACUGAGACACGGUCCAGACUCCUACGGGAGGCAGCAGUGGGGAAUAUUGGACAAUGGGCGCAAGCCUGAUCCAGCCAUACCGCGUGGGUGAAGAAGGCCUUCGGGUUGUAAAGCCCUUUUGUUGGGAAAGAAAAGCAGCAGGUUAAUACCCCGCUGUUCUGACGGUACCCAAAGAAUAAGCACCGGCUAACUUCGUG
rnacentral:rRNA from 1 species